AAGUUUAUAGCCACAUCAAGAAACUUGGACCCUAUAUAUAUAUAUAAUUCAAUUCAAUUCCAUAAACAUAAUCAAUUAGCACCAAUUACAGCACCCAACAGAUUCUAGCUAUUCUUAAUAAGUAACAACUUCAAUUACUGUUGUUUCCUACUCAGCGGAGUGUGUUUAUUUCAACUUUGGAGGCAAAAAAAAAAAAAAGAUACCGUUAACGUUGGUUUAAUCCAUAUCUGGAGAAUCAAGAUGGGCAAUAAGGGGACCAAGACAAACUCGUUUUCUUCCAGAGUUAGAUCAAUUGCAAAGCAUGUUUUUAUUAGUGGAGAUGUGAAGACAACAAGUACUAAGAAAGCAGCAACACCUGCUGGUCCUGUAGCCACCAUGAUCGCUGCUUCAAAGCAUUUUUCUACAUCAACUCAAAAUGUUCGGUUUAAUUAGUUCAUACUGCUCUACAGUUUAUCUGUAUAUGCCUUCAUUGAUCAGUUAAAUUAUGUAAACUAGAUGUUAUUUUAAUUUUUAAUUAAUUGUUCUUUCCAAGGGUGUAAUUAUAUAUAUAUUUUGUUAUUAAUAUUUGAAAAAAUUCUAAAUUUACUCUUACAGUAA
rnacentral:lncRNA from 1 species